AGCUUGCGACAAGUAGGGCGGGACACGAGAAAUCCUGUCUGAAGAUGGGGGGACCAUCCUCCAAGGCUAAAUACUCGUGAUCGACCGAUAGUGAACCAGUACUGUGAAGGAAAGGUAAAAAGAACCCCGGGAGGGGAGUGAAAUAGAUCCUGAAACCGCAUACAUACAAACAGUAGGAGCCCGCAAGGGUGACUGCGUACCUUUUGCAUAAUGGGUCAGCGACUUACGUUCAAUGGCGAGCUUAACCGGAUAGGGGAGGCGCAGCGAAAGCGAGUCCGAACAGGGCGAAAUUCAGUCGUUGGGCGUAGACCCGAAACCAGAUGAUCUAUCCAUGGUCAGGCUGAAGGUGUGGUAACACACACUGGAGGGCCGAACCGACUAGUGUUGCAAAAUUAGCGGAUGAACUGUGGAUAGGGGUGAAAGGCUAAACAAAUCUGGAGAUAGCUGGUUCUCCCCGAAAACUAUUGAGGUAGUGCCUCGUGUAGGGCUCCAGGGGGUAGAGCACUGUUAUGGCUAGGGGGACAUGGCGUCUUACCAAACCAUGGCAAACUCCGAAUACUUGGAAGUCAGAGCACGGGAGACAGAGCACCGGGUGCUAACGUCCGGACUCAAAAGGGAAACAACCCAGACCGCCGGCUAAGGUCCCUAAUAUUGACUAAGUGGAAAACGAAGUGGGAAGGCUAAGACAGUCAGGAAGUUGGCUUAGAAGCAGCCAUCCUUCAAAGAAAGCGUAAUAGCUCACUGAUCGAGUCUUCCUGCGCGGAAGAUGUAACGGGGCUAAGUCAAUAACCGAAGCCGCGGAUUCGACCGCAAGGUUGAGUGGUAGGGGAGCGUUCCGUAAGCCUGAGAAGGCGGACCCGCGAGGGCUGCUGGAGGUAUCGGAAGUGCGAAUGCUGACAUGAGUAACGUUAAAGCGGGUGAAAAGCCCGCUCGCCGCAAGCCCAAGGUUUCCUGCUCUACGUUCAUCGGAGCAGGGUGAGUCGGCCCCUAAGGCGAGGCUGAGAAGCAUAGCUGAUGGGAACCAGGUUAAUAGUCCUGGACCGAUUGCAGGUGCGAAGGAGGGACGGAGUGCUGAAGGUCAUCCGGGUGUUGGAUAUCCCGGUUUGCGAGCGUAGGAAGCCGGCAGGCAAAUCCGCCGGCGAAUUUCCGAGGCGAAGCAUCGAGGCUGGUUUCAGCUGAAGUGACUGAAUGGACUUCCAGGAAAAGCUUCUAAGCAUCAGCCUGCAAUUGACCGUACCGCAAACCGACACUGGUGGGCGAGCUGAAUAUGCUCAGGCGCUUGAGAGAACUCAGGAGAAGGAACUCGGCAAAUUGACACCGUAACUUCGGGAUAAGGUGUGCCUUUGUAGUGUGAAGGAAGAAACAUCCGGAGCAUGAAGAGGUCUCAGAGAAUUGGUGGCUGCAACUGUUUACUAAAAACACAGCACUCUGCAAAGACGAAAGUCGACGUAUAGGGUGUGAUGCCUGCCCGGUGCUGGAAGAUUAAUUGAUGGGCUGCAAGGUCCUGAUCGAAGUCCCAGUAAACGGCGGCCGUAACUAUAACGGUCCUAAGGUAGCGAAAUUCCUUGUCGGGCAAGUUCCGACCUGCACGAAUGGCAUAAUGAUGGCCACACUGUCUCCUCCUGAGACUCAGUGAAGUUGAAGUGUUUGUGAUGAUGCAAUCUCCCCGCGGCUAGACGGAAAGACCCCAUGAACCUUUACUGCAGCUUUGCAUUGGACUUUGAACCGAUCUGUGUAGGAUAGGUGGGAGGCAGUGAAGUUAGGACGCCAGUCUUAACGGAGCCAUCCUUGAAAUACCACCCUGAUUUGUUUGAGGUUCUAACCUGGGAGCGU
rnacentral:rRNA from 1 species